CAAAUAGAAAAAUUUAAUGAUUCCAAUUAUGAAUCGUGAAAUUUACUAAUGAAAAGCGUUCUGGUACAUUGUGAGCACUGGGAAAUUGCAAGCGAAUGAAGCGGCAACUCCCACUGCAUAUUUGCAGAGGCAAUUGCAAAAUGGGAGUCUCAAGAUGAGAAUAGCAAUAGUUACUAUCGAGUCUGCCGAAGUCUUAUGAGUCUUUUAUUGUCGCAAUAGACACGCGAGACAUAUUGCCAACGCUGAAUACAUUUAAGGCAAAGCCAAUGGAACAAGGUCAUCGGAGAAGUGAACUUGAUCGAAAUGCAGAAAGUAAUGUUAGUGAAAAAGCUUAUACAGCGCGAGACAAAGGGUAGAAAACACAAGAACAAAAGAAACGUGCAAGGAGGUCAAAUGUGAAAUGUUUUAACUGCGGAAAGAAAGAACAUAUUGCUCUAAAUUGUAUAGACAAGCGAAGAAUUUAUCAAUGGAACAACAAGAUGAACAGAAGGCGAUUCCAGCUCUUGUACAUCGAUAGUGGAGCGACAUCACAUAUAUGUUGCGAUAUGAAAAAGUUCGAUGUAUGUAUUUGACAAUGAUUACAAGAAUGUAAUUUUAUCAGGUAAAAAUUUCAUAGAAGCCAAAGGAAAAGGAAACAUCACGUUGAAAUUUGGACAGUCUAAGAGCUGUCGAACUUGCAAACUCAGUAGUUUUUAACAAGAAGUUUGCAAUUGUGAGAAAUAGAUUUGGUCAAAAAGCGACUUAUAGUUCGAGGACGGCGGCUUAAAAGAAUAUGCAAUGGAGCCAAAGUGAUUUUACCCGAAAUUUUAUAGAAGAAGAUAUCGAUGGAGGUUGUUGUUGUGUACACAAUAUUUCGCGCUAAGGUUGAAAUGCUGUUUGGCAACUUUCCUCACAAUGGAGGCUAGUGAAUUGGAGGCAAGUUGUCAUUGCGAAAUACCACAACACACACUCCUCCGUCGAGAGAACCGUCGAUCCACAAAUUUUUUUAAAGAAGAAGGCUAUUUUUUUAUCAUUUACAUGUCAACCGACUUUUGGAUUCAACAUAAAUUCCAUAAUGUGCUAAUAAAAUAAAACCUUAUUGAAAUUUUAAUUUUCUGACAGCAGGGUUGGGUGCUUAAAUGGUUAACCUAUCUGCGAACUUUUCCAUAUUUACAGAUGAUAUAAGAGUUUCAAUAUAGCUCUGAAAAGCUUUGCAAUGUUUGGUAUUUUUUUUGGAUAUGACGUUGAUAAUA